AUUAGAGUUUGAUCCUGGCUCAGAUUGAACGUUGGCGGCAGGCCUAAAACAUGCAAGUCGAACGGUAACAGCGAGAGCUUGCUCUCGGCUGACGAGUGGCGGACGGGUGAGUAAUACGUAGGAAUCUACCUAGUAGUGGGGGACAACCCGGGGAAACCCGGGCUAAUACCGCAUACGCUCUACGGAGGAAAGCGGGGGAUCUUCGGACCUCGCGCUGUUAGAGGAGCCUGCGUCGGAUUAGCUAGUUGGUGGGGUAAAGGCCUACCAAGGCGACGAUCCGUAGCUGGUCUGAGAGGACGAUCAGCCACACUGGAACUGAGACACGGUCCAGACUCCUACGGGAGGCAGCAGUUAGGAAUCUUGGGCAAUGGGCGCAAGCCUGACCCAGCCAUGCCGCGUGUGUGAAGAAGGCCUUCGGGUUGUAAAGCACUUUCAGCGGUGAAGAAAAGCUCAGGGCCAAUACCCCUCGAGUCUUGACGUUAACCACAGAAGAAGCACCGGCUAACUCCGUGCCAGCAGCCGCGGUAAUACGGAGGGUGCGAACGUUAAUCGGAAUCACUGGGCGUAAAGCGCGCGUAGGCGGUCUGUUAAGUGGGAUGUGAAAUCCCCGGGCUUAACCUGGGAAUUGCAUUCCAAACUGGCCGACUAGAGUACGGUAGAGGGAGGUAGAAUUUCCUGUGUAGCGGUGAAAUGCGUAGAUAUAGGAAGGAAUACCAGUGGCGAAGGCGGCCUCCUGGAUCGAUACUGACGCUGAGGCGCGAAAGCGUGGGGAGCAAACAGGAUUAGAUACCCUGGUAGUCCACGCCGUAAACGAUGAGAACUAGCCGUUGGACCCCUUGAGGGUUUAGUGGCGUAGCUAACGCGAUAAGUUCUCCGCCUGGGGAGUACGGCCGCAAGGCUAAAACUCAAAUGAAUUGACGGGGGCCCGCACAAGCGGUGGAGCAUGUUGUUUAAUUCGAUGCAACGCGAAGAACCUUACCACCCCUUGACAUCCUCGGAACUUGUCAGAGAUGACUUGGUGCCUUCGGGAACCGAGAGACUGGUGCUGCAUGGCUGUCGUCAGCUCGUGUCGUGAGAUGUUGGGUUAAGUCCCGUAACAAGCGCAACCCUUGUCCUUAUUUGCCAGCGGGUAAUGCCGGGAACUCUAAGGAGACUGCCGGUGACAAACCGGAGGAAGGUGGGGAUGACGUCAAGUCUUCAUGGCCCUCACGGGGUGGGCUACAAACGUGCUACAAUGGGCGGUACAAAGGGAUGCUAUCCCGCGAGGGGGAGCGAAUCCCAAAAAACCGCUCGUAGUCCGGAUUGGAGUCUGCAACUCGACUCCAUGAAGUCGGAAUCGCUAGUAAUCGCGAAUCAGCAUGUCGCGGUGAAUACGUUCCCGGGCCUUGUACACACCGCCCGUCACAUCACGAAAGUGGGUUGCACUAGAAGUCGGUGCGCUAACCGCAAGGGAGCAGCCGCCCAAGGUGUAAUUCAUGAUUGGGGUGAAGUCGUAACAAGGUAACCAAU
rnacentral:rRNA from 1 species